GCACAAUUGAGUACAUUAAAGGAGAUGGUUAACACAAAGAAUCUGAUAACAGAUACAGCUUUUCUUGAAUGACCUAUUCUAGUUGUGUGUUAUUAACUUUCUCUUGAAGUUUGUUUUUUUAGAAAACUACGGAGAUGAUGCCAAUUGAGAAGGAAGACAAAUAUCUGUGAGAAGACCAACCAUUUAACAUGUUUAUUUAUUUCAGGAAAAAUACAGUCCCAGUUUAUAGAGGACCUUAAUAUGUAGUUUUAUGAUAUUUUAUUUCAUAUUAAGGAUAAGCCUCUAAACUCAUUCAUUACAGUCAGGUGGUCCAAAUUCCAAAUUAUUUUUGUUUUUAUUAGUUUAGCACACCUGCACUUCCAGCUAUGUUUUAUUUUUGUAUUUUGAUAC